rnacentral:rRNA from 1 species
AGAGUUUGAUCAUGGCUCAGAUUGAACGCUGGCGGCAGGCCUAACACAUGCAAGUCGAGCGGUAGCACAGAGAGCUUGCUCUCGGGUGACGAGCGGCGGACGGGUGAGUAAUGUCUGGGAAACUGCCUGAUGGAGGGGGAUAACUACUGGAAACGGUAGCUAAUACCGCAUAAUGUCGCAAGACCAAAGUGGGGGACCUUCGGGCCUCAUGCCAUCAGAUGUGCCCAGAUGGGAUUAGCUAGUAGGUGGGGUAAUGGCUCACCUAGGCGACGAUCCCUAGCUGGUCUGAGAGGAUGACCAGCCACACUGGAACUGAGACACGGUCCAGACUCCUACGGGAGGCAGCAGUGGGGAAUAUUGCACAAUGGGCGCAAGCCUGAUGCAGCCAUGCCGCGUGUGUGAAGAAGGCCUUCGGGUUGUAAAGCACUUUCAGCGGGGAGGAAGGCGNUAAGGUUAAUAACCUUGGCGAUUGACGUUACCCGCAGAAGAAGCACCGGCUAACUCCGUGCCAGCAGCCGCGGUAAUACGGAGGGUGCAAGCGUUAAUCGGAAUUACUGGGCGUAAAGCGCACGCAGGCGGUCUGUCAAGUCGGAUGUGAAAUCCCCGGGCUCAACCUGGGAACUGCAUUCGAAACUGGCAGGCUAGAGUCUUGUAGAGGGGGGUAGAAUUCCAGGUGUAGCGGUGAAAUGCGUAGAGAUCUGGAGGAAUACCGGUGGCGAAGGCGGCCCCCUGGACAAAGACUGACGCUCAGGUGCGAAAGCGUGGGGAGCAAACAGGAUUAGAUACCCUGGUAGUCCACGCCGUAAACGAUGUCGAUUUGGAGGUUGUGCCCUUGAGGCGUGGCUUCCGGAGCUAACGCGUUAAAUCGACCGCCUGGGGAGUACGGCCGCAAGGUUAAAACUCAAAUGAAUUGACGGGGGCCCGCACAAGCGGUGGAGCAUGUGGUUUAAUUCGAUGCAACGCGAAGAACCUUACCUGGUCUUGACAUCCACAGAACUUUCCAGAGAUGGAUUGGUGCCUUCGGGAACUGUGAGACAGGUGCUGCAUGGCUGUCGUCAGCUCGUGUUGUGAAAUGUUGGGUUAAGUCCCGCAACGAGCGCAACCCUUAUCCUUUGUUGCCAGCGGUUAGGCCGGGAACUCAAAGGAGACUGCCAGUGAUAAACUGGAGGAAGGUGGGGAUGACGUCAAGUCAUCAUGGCCCUUACGACCAGGGCUACACACGUGCUACAAUGGCAUAUACAAAGAGAAGCGACCUCGCGAGAGCAAGCGGACCUCAUAAAGUAUGUCGUAGUCCGGAUUGGAGUCUGCAACUCGACUCCAUGAAGUCGGAAUCGCUAGUAAUCGUAGAUCAGAAUGCUACGGUGAAUACGUUCCCGGGCCUUGUACACACCGCCCGUCACACCAUGGGAGUGGGUUGCAAAAGAAGUAGGUAGCUUAACCUUCGGGAGGGCGCUUACCACUUUGUGAUUCAUGACUGGGGUGAAGUCGUAACAAGGUAACCGUAGGGGAACCUGCGGUUGGAUCACCU